rnacentral:snRNA from 1 species
AUACCUUUCUCGGCCUUUUGGCUAAGAUCAAGUGUAGUAUCUGUUCUUAUCAGUUUAAUAUCUGAUAUGUGGUCCAAUGGAUCACACGAUAUUAAAUUACUUUUUUGAGGGGGAGAAGUCACCUUAGUAGCUUGCUACUGGAUUUCUUAUGUGUCGCUCAUGUGUUGCACUAUUGCAUGAGCUAGGCGCACCCCACCAAUUCUAGUUCAAUGUUUCUAGUUUUUGGGGGGAGAGGUCACUUCAAUAUUAUUGGGCUUCUCAAUAUUAUUGGGCUUCUCAUAUGUUGCAUUAUUUAACUCUAGAUUUUAGUUGCAGAAGCUUGAUGGAAAACUGCUGUUAGCUAACCUAAUUUCCUCCCUAUCAACCUCACCAGCAACAUCCAUUCCAAAGUCAAGGGACAAAAUUUUUGCUUUAUUUGUGGAUUGUGUAUUGUGUUUGGAGAACAACUAGGAUAUUUAUAAUUAUAUUGUAUUAUGAACUCUUGAGUGGUUGCAUUUGUAGAUUAGUAUGUGUUUGAAUGGAUUUGUAAUAUGAGUGAUCCACAUGAUUUUAAUA